GGAGAGUUUGAUCCUGGCUCAGGAUGAACGCUAGCGGCAGGCCUAACACAUGCAAGUCGAGGGGCAUCACGAGGUAGCAAUACUUUGGUGGCGACCGGCGCACGGGUGCGUAACGCGUAUGUAACCUACCUAUAACAGGGGCAUAACACUGAGAAAUUGGUACUAAUUCCCCAUAAUAUUCGGAGAGGCAUCUCUCCGGGUUGAAAACUCCGGUGGUUAUAGAUGGACAUGCGUUGUAUUAGCUAGUUGGUGAGGUAACGGCUCACCAAGGCAACGAUACAUAGGGGGACUGAGAGGUUAACCCCCCACACUGGUACUGAGACACGGACCAGACUCCUACGGGAGGCAGCAGUGAGGAAUAUUGGUCAAUGGACGCAAGUCUGAACCAGCCAUGCCGCGUGCAGGAAGACGGCUCUAUGAGUUGUAAACUGCUUUUGUACGAGGGUAAACGCAGAUACGUGUAUCUGUCUGAAAGUAUCGUACGAAUAAGGAUCGGCUAACUCCGUGCCAGCAGCCGCGGUAAUACGGAGGAUUCAAGCGUUAUCCGGAUUUAUUGGGUUUAAAGGGUGCGUAGGCGGUUUGAUAAGUUAGAGGUGAAAUCCCGGGGCUUAACUCCGGAACUGCCUCUAAUACUGUUAGACUAGAGAGUAGUUGCGGUAGGCGGAAUGUAUGGUGUAGCGGUGAAAUGCUUAGAGAUCAUACAGAACACCGAUUGCGAAGGCAGCUUACCAAACUAUAUCUGACGUUGAGGCACGAAAGCGUGGGGAGCAAACAGGAUUAGAUACCCUGGUAGUCCACGCAGUAAACGAUGAUAACUCGUUGUCGGCGAUACACAGUCGGUGACUAAGCGAAAGCGAUAAGUUAUCCACCUGGGGAGUACGUUCGCAAGAAUGAAACUCAAAGGAAUUGACGGGGGCCCGCACAAGCGGAGGAACAUGUGGUUUAAUUCGAUGAUACGCGAGGAACCUUACCCGGGCUUGAAAGUUACUGACGAUUCUGGAAACAGGAUUUCCCUUCGGGGCAGGAAACUAGGUGCUGCAUGGUUGUCGUCAGCUCGUGCCGUGAGGUGUCGGGUUAAGUCCCAUAACGAGCGCAACCCCUACCGUUAGUUGCCAUCAGGUCAAGCUGGGCACUCUGGCGGGACUGCCGGUGUAAGCCGAGAGGAAGGUGGGGAUGACGUCAAAUCAGCACGGCCCUUACGUCCGGGGCUACACA
rnacentral:rRNA from 1 species